ACAACCAAGUUCAAGGAGUUAGAAAGGGGAACUUCUGAGUUUGGAGGCCAGGAUCGUCACUAUUACACUUUUUCCCCUGGCAACAGAGUAUAGGCUCUUUCCACCUCAAAGUCUUGGAGCAGAGCUUUAAAAGGUAGGUGGGAUUCCAAAUGGCAGAGACAUGAAGGAGAAGAAAGUGGGAAAUGACCAAGCCGUGUGCUCUGCCAUGCAUUUGCUGUUAAUAUUUGCAGUGCAGUAUUCCCGUCAACACAGAGCCAGUAUCUUUUGCAAUACUAAAGAAAAGAAAAAAAGAAAGAAAGAAGAACUAGAAAGAAAAGAAAAGCAUGCUCAGAGUGCCCUGUGAGACUCACAAACGUUCUGCUGAAGGAAAAGCUAUCCAAGGCAGAAUUUGUCGAAAUUAAAAUUAACAACAAAAGGAAAAACUUUGAGAUCUAUUCCUAGCUGAGAUAUUGAACAGUCAACAACACUUAAAUUUGACUUUGAUUUUUUUAAAAGAAUGUAUGUUGUUUUGAAUAGAUAUACUUAACCAACUUUUGCAAGCUUCAGAGGAAGCUAAAAUUACGUUAAUCGCUUCCUCAUUUUGAAUAGACUCCAUUCUGUGGAAUUCCAAAAGUAUCUGUCACCAAAUUUACCUGUGUUACAUGAACGCUGUAUAUUUUACACAGUAAAGAACCCCAAAUACCAGAAAAUACCUGCAAACAUUUGAGUGGCCAACUAAGCACUCUCUAAAAUGGGUUUAAUUUCUAGUUACUCAUGGGCAUCUGGAACACACCCUAAGCAGGUCAUUGGUUUUGGUUUGGGUUUUCAUCCAAGAUAUGUAAAUUUUCCAGUGAAACUCUUCUUAAUUGGUUGAUGUGUUUUGAGCACCAUGGUGCAUCUCCUAGGGAGCAAAGAUAGUUUGUUUCUUUGACCUUAUACCAGGGAUUGAAAAGGCACAUGUACAGGGAACUGAAAUUGGCAUCUUAGGGGAUCCCACUAAGCUCCAAGUACUUCACUGGCCUUUUAUAUCCCCACAUCUCCGUGAUCCAAAUGUCAGCACUUGGAAAAGCAGGUAGAGGACUCAUUUGUUCCAGCAGUAUGGUCCUUCCAAGGCCAACAACUAACCACUUGGUUCACUGGCUGGAGGGAGAGAGGAACGGUGGGGACAAAGCCACAUGUAUGGACAAAUGGAUAUGAAGAACAUGUUUCCAGUGUUCCACAAUACACAAAUGAAAAGAUGAAGAGAGAAGAGGAGCAGAGGCUGUGAGUGUGGAGGGAAAAGAGUGAGAGGGGGAGGGGAAGGUGAGGAAUGAGGAGUUUCAUGUGAAUACCUUACACAAUGGCAGUGCUCCAAGCUGAUCGUGGUGACAGCUGCUCAAAUCUUUGAUCAUACCAAGAACUGUUAAUUGUAAUUUUAAGUGGGUGAACUCUAUCAUGUCUGAGUUAUAGCUCAAUGAAGGGAUUCUUAGAAAUAAAAAUGUAAAAUCCUACUAUAGACUAACAAAUCAGUGAAAUAAUUUUGUUAGUUUUAACCUCUAUAUGGUAAAACACUUGCUCAAGUUCUCUCCAAAUGGAAUUUGUUGAUUCAGAAGAAACACUCCCUGUGUUGUCCCCAUUUGAAAUAAUCCCAAUAAUUAAUUCCAAAUUAUCAAUAAGAUUAAACCAGCAUGGGGUUUAAUCUUCCUC
rnacentral:lncRNA from 1 species